rnacentral:rRNA from 1 species
AUUGAACGCUGGCGGCAGGCCUAACACAUGCAAGUCGAACGAGCGGCGGACGGGUGAGUAAUGUAUGGGGGCUGCCCGAUAGAGGGGGAUAAAUACUGGAAACGGUAGCUAAUACCGCAUACUCUCGGAUAAUCCAUAUGUGAUUUGCUAGUAGGGGAGGUAAUGGCUCACAUCGGCGACGAUCCCUAGCUGGUCUGAGAGGAUGAUCAGCCACACUGGGACUGAGACACGGCCAAGACUCCGACGGAGGCAGCAGUGGGGAAUAGUGCACAAUGGGCGCAAGCCUGAUGCAGCCAUGCCGCGUGUAUGAAGAAGGACCUAGUGUUGUAAAGUACUUUCAGUCGGGAGGCGUUACCCACAGAAGAAGCACCGGCUAACUCCGUGCCAGCAGCCGCGGUAAUAC